GGCCAAUCAAACCGGGAGAUAGCUGGUUCUCCCCGAAAGCUAUUUAGGUAGCGCCUCGUGAAUUCAUCUCCGGGGGUAGAGCACUGUUUCGGCAAGGGGGUCAUCCCGACUUACCAACCCGAUGCAAACUGCGAAUACCGGAGAAUGUUAUCACGGGAGACACACGGCGGGUGCUAACGUCCGUCGUGAAGAGGGAAACAACCCAGACCGCCAGCUAAGGUCCCAAAGUCAUGGUUAAGUGGGAAACGAUGUGGGAAGGCCCAGACAGCCAGGAUGUUGGCUUAGAAGCAGCCAUCAUUUAAAGAAAGCGUAAUAGCUCACUGGUCGAGUCGGCCUGCGCGGAAGAUGUAACGGGGCUAAACCAUGCACCGAAGCUGCGGCAGCGACGCUUAUGCGUUGUUGGGUAGGGGAGCGUUCUGUAAGCCUGCGAAGGUGUGCUGUGAGGCAUGCUGGAGGUAUCAGAAGUGCGAAUGCUGACAUAAGUAACGAUAAAGCGGGUGAAAAGCCCGCUCGCCGGAAGACCAAGGGUUCCUGUCCAACGUUAAUCGGGGCAGGGUGAGUCGACCCCUAAGGCGAGGCCGAAAGGCGUAGUCGAUGGGAAACAGGUUAAUAUUCCUGUACUUGGUGUUACUGCGAAGGGGGGACGGAGAAGGCUAUGUUGGCCGGGCGACGGUUGUCCCGGUUUAAGCGUGUAGGCUGGUUUUCCAGGCAAAUCCGGAAAAUCAAGGCUGA
rnacentral:rRNA from 1 species